rnacentral:lncRNA from 1 species
GGCUCUAUAGUAUUGGAGAAAAGUUGAAAAAACUGACCCUCCGUUACAUUGUGUCGUGUCAUGCCGUAACGUACAGCACGCGUAAAGCAACUAUUUCUGUCUUACAAUCUCUCUCCACCACUUCUCUCAUCGUUUAAAAACAAGAAAUGGACAGUGACGGGGGUAAGGGGGAAUACCAAGUCAUUUUUUGCGUCGUCACUGCAAGCAAUCAUGACUCUCAAAAGACAAUGUUUACUUCUGAAGAUCACUUUAGCACCGCCCUAAAAACCCGAUUCAAAUUCGACACAAACCUUGAAAUAGAUGAAUUACCUGACGCAUGAAAAAAGUCAUGACUGGGCUGAUGAAAACAGGAUAUGCAGGUACAAUUUUAUAAAUGCCGACAGACAAUUUGUUUGUUUGACAUGGUGAGAUCCUUUUGUGUCUGUAAUAUAUUAUGUAAGAAAUGGCAGUGAAAAGGCUUUUAUGCGCAAAUAUUGAUACAAUAACCAUCAUAUCCAAGUAAACUUGGAGUCACGCAAUGAUAUGUUGUGUGGUCCUUCCACUACGACUCAGGAAACCAUAUAGUUUAUUAGGCUGCAGAUUAAAUUAAUUAUGAUGAACUUCACAGUGUUGAAAGUACACGCGAUGAGCUUGAUGCUCCUUUCCAAUAAAUAUUGAGGGUCUUAUUCCGGUGACAUGAUGAUCGAUACUUGGUUGCCAUAAUAAUGUAGGUAGCCUACCUGCACUUUAUCUGCCAACUGUUGGCUAGAGCACAAGUGCCAAAACCAGAGUGGGCACAUUUUCUUUAUAAAGCAAGUUUUUGUGACAAAACCAUCAGUAGAGUUGAGAAUGAGAUAGAAACCCAUUUAACUUGUAUUUUUCAUUCGGUCCAUGAUAAUUUAACCGCAAAAGUUAUUUUAAUGUGUACUACGUCAUAAUACACAGCCUUUUAUUCCCAGUACAUGGGUUUGAUGGAAACACAUUUCUGGUGUGAAAAUAUUUUUGUGCAUGUUUUAUAAUAUUCGCACGAAAAUCUGCUGCAAAUUGGAUGGAAACCUAGCUAAUAUCACAAAAUGGCAUGCAGAUUUUUUAUCAAGUCCGUUGGGUUUUCACUAGUUACCACACCCACAAAGUCAAUAUUGGCCAAAACGUAGAAAUUCAUGAAGACAAACCUUUGCUUUUUGGUCUUAAUUUAAGAUUAGGUAUAAAGUUAGCAGUGUCGUUAGGUUAGGCUUAGGUAUAAAAUCAGAUUUUAAGAAGUGAAAUGGAAUAGGCGGGAUCACCGACAACGAUGAGACAGCCAAUAGGGAGGAGGUCAGAGACCUGGUCGUGUGGUGCCAGGAUAACAACCUCUCCCUCAACGUGAUCAAGACAAAGGAGAUGAUUGUGGACAACAGGAAAAAGAGGACCCCAAGCAUGCCCCUAUUCUCAACGACGGGGCUGUAGUGGAGCAGGUUGAGAGCUUCAAGUUCCUUGAUGUCCUCAUCCCCAAAAAACUAUCAUGGUACAAACACACCAAGACAGUCGUGAAGAAGGCAUGACAAAACCUAUUCCCCCUCAGGAGACUGAAAAGAUUUGGCAUGGGUCUUCAGAUCCUCAAAAAGUUAUAUGCACCAUUGAGAGCAUCCUGACUUGUUGCAUCACUGCCUGGUAUGGCAACUACUCGACCGAAAGGCACUACAGAGGGUAGUACAUCACUGGGGCCAAGCUUCCUACCAUCCAAGACCUCUAUACCAGGCCGUGUCAGAGGAAGACCCAAAAAAUUGUCAAAGACUCCAGCCACCCUAGUCAUAGACUGUUCUCUCUGCUACCACACGGCAAGCGGUAACGGAGCGCCAAGUCUAGUUCCAAAAGGCUUCUUAACAGCUUCUACCUCCAAGCCAUAAGACUCCUGAACAGGUAAUCAAAUGGCUACCCAGAAUACUUGCAUUGCCCCCUAAUUUAUGCUGCUGAUACUCUCUGGUUAUUAUCUAUGCAUAGUCACUUUAACUCUACCUACAUGUAAAUCAAUCAAUCAAAUGUAUUUAUCAAGUCCUUUAUACAUCAGCAUAUGCCACAAAGUGCUAUACAGAAACCCAGCCUAAAACCCCAAACAGCAAGCAAUGCAGAUGUAGAAGCACGGUGGCUAGGUUAAACUCGCUAGAAAGGCCGGAACCUAGGAAGAAACCUAGAGAGGAACCAGGCUCGGAGGGGUGGCCAGUCCUCUUCUGGCUGUGCCGGGUGGAGAUUAUAAAAGUACAUGGCCAAGAUAACCAGCAGGGUCAAAUAAUAAUAAUCACAGUGGUUGUAGAGGGUGCAACAGGUCAGCACCUCAGGAAUAAAUGUCAGUUGGCUUUUCAUAGCCGAUCAUUUAGAGUUAGAGACAGCAGGUGCGGUAGAGAGAGAGAGAGCCAAAAACAGAAGAUUCGGAACAAGUCAGGGUUCCAUAGCCACAGGCAGAACAGUUGAAACUGGAGCAGCAGCACGACUAGGUGGACUGGGGACAGCAAGGAGUCAUCAGGCCAGGUAGUCCUGAGGCAUGGUCCUAGAGGGAGCAUAAUUAAAACUUCUAUGGGCUACGUGGGACGCUAGCGUUCCACCUGCGGGACACAGCCAGUGAAAUAUCAGGGCGGCAAUUUCAAAAACAACAAAAUGUCAUAAUUCAACUUUCUCAAACAUACAACUAUUUUACACCAUUUUAAAGAUACACUUCUCGUUAAUCUAACCACAUUGUCUGAUUUCAAAAGGCUUUACAGUGAAAGCAAAACGUUAGAUUAUGUUAGGAGAGUACAUAGACAAAAAUAAUCACAUUUUCCAAGCAAGGACAUGUGUCAAUAAAACCCAAAACACAGCUAAAUGAAGCACUAACAUUUGACAAUCUUCAUCAGAUGACACUCCUAGGACAUUAUGUUAUACAAUACAUGUAUGUUUUGUUCGAUAAAGUUCAUAUUUAUAUCCAAAAACAGCAUUUUACAUUGGCGCGUGAUGUUCACAAAAUGUAUUCCCACCAAAACGUCCAGUGAAUGUGCACAUCAAUUUACAAAAAUACUCAUCAUAAACGUUGACAAAAUAUAUAACAAUAAUUUUAAGAAUUAUAGAUAGACUACUCCUUUAUGCAACUGCUGUGUCAGAUUUUAAAAUAGCUUUACGGAGAAAGCACAUUUUUCAAUAUUCUGAGUACAUAGCUCGCCAUCACGGUGAGCAAUUCAGACACCCGCCAAGUUCGGGGCAACCUAAACUCAGAAUUAGUAUUACAAAUAUUCUCUUACCUUUGCUGAUCUUCGUCAGAAUGCACUCCAAGGACUGCUACUUCCACAAGAAAUGUUGUUUUUGUUCGAAAUAAUCCAUAUUUAUGUACAAAUACCUCCGUUUUGUUCGUGCGUACAGAUCACUGAUCCAAAGGCAUAAUGCGCGAGCACGGAACGAGAGACGAAAAGUCAAAAUGUUCCAUUACCGUACUUAGAAGCAUGUCAAACGCUGUUUAAUAUCAAUCUUUAUGGUAUUUUAACGUGAAAUUGCGAUAAUAUUCCAACCGGACAAUAGCAUAUUCAUUCAAGAAGAAAAAGAAGGAACGGCGUGCUCGUGUGACCGCGCAUAUCCAAUCCCUUUGUUGCCAGGUAGACCACUCAGUAACUGAGCUCCUAUUAUCUGCCCAGUGACAGGAAAAUGCUCAAACCACUUUCUGAAGGCUUUAGACAGCCAAUGGAAGCCUUAGGAAGUGCAACGUCACCCCACAGACACUUGAGCUUCGAUAGAGAAUCAAAAGAAGAACUACAAUUCUCAGACUUUUCACGUCCUGCUUGGAUUUUUCUCAGGUUUUUGCCUGCCAUAUGAGUUCUGUUAUACUCACAGACACCAUUCAAACAGUUUUAGAAACUUCAGAGUGUUUUUUAUCCAAAUCUACUAAUAAUAUGCAUAUUCUACUUUCUGGGCCAGAAUAGUAACCUGUUUAAAUUGGGUACGUUUUUCAUCCGGCCGUGAAAAUACUGCCCCCUAGCCCAGACAGGUUAAAUUCACACAUCACACCAGAUAAGACAGGAGAAAUACUCCAGAUAUAACAGACUGACCCUAGCCACCGAACACAUGAACUAUUGCGACAUAAUUACUGGAGGUUGAGACAGGAGGGGUCGGGAGACACUGUGGAGGGGUCGGGAGACACUGUGGCCCAGUCCGACUACACCCCCAGACAGGGUCACAGGUUACUCAAUUACCUCGAUUAACCUGUACUCCUUCACAUUGACUCUGUACCGGUACCUCCUGUAUAUAGCCUCGCUACUGUUAUUUUACUGCUGCUCUUUAACUAUUUGUUAUUUUUAUUUUUUACUUAUCUGUUUUUUACUUAACACUUAUUUUUCAUAAAACUGCAUUGUUGGUUAAGGGCUUGUAAGUAAGCAUAUCACUGUAAGGUCUACAUCUGUUGUAUUCGGCACAUGUGACAAAUACGAGUUUAUUUGAUUUUAACAUUUGAUUUGAUGCAGUUGCCCCACCUGUUUAGCUAAAAAAAUAAAUGCAAUAAAUAAUAAUUGUUGUUGCCUGUUUUGCAUGUUGUUUGGGCAUUAAUACAUGUCACAUAUCAGUUUGCAUACAAUACAAAAUCUAUAGGUAGAGCAACAACAAAAAAAUGCAAGCCCCUUGCUGCCAUAAAGUUACAUUAAAAGUGCCCAUCUAAGAAGGCUCAAGGUCAUUGGCCACAGAUAAAAUGACAUCAAAUGACGUUAUAUCUACCAUAGCUUUGAUUGGACUGAUCAUGUCAAUAUCAUACUUUCAAAAAUCUUAGCUAGCAAGAUAGUAGUCAUCAUCAUGAAUCAAGUUGAUAAUCUACUGGCAAAUCCUUUUCAAUCCUUGUCUAGAGAAGAGAAAUGAUUAAUUCUAGAUAAAACGUAUCGGUGCUCAUCGGCCAUUGGACAUAAACAUUACACAACAAGUUGGAAAUCUCAAAUUCAACAAUGAGUGGUUUGGAAGGAAUCAGUGGCUAACUUGCAUGCGUUGUAAAGCAAUCACUAGCCUGCUAUUCAGUGGAGUGGGUGUGUGGUCCAAGUCUGGGUUUAAGGGUCUCUUUCCAAGCUUAAAAGGAUAAACAUUCAACACGAUACGCCAGAAAAGGUUGCGUACAUUAGCCAUGCUGUCAAUCCAGCAUGACUUCUGCCGUGUUUAAAACAACUGUAAAGCGUAGAACUGGGAAAUCUCAGACUUCAGUGAGUUCAAGACAACUGGGAACUCUGAAAAAAAUUGGCUCCGACUGGGAAAAUACACUUUGAACUGUCAUCCAACUCAGAAUUCCAAGUCAGGAACUCAGGCCUCUUUCUAGAGCGCCAACCUUGUUUUUUUCCCCAGUUACUAUUUAUCUUGAAAGCACCAUACAUCCAGAGAAUGCCAGACUUUGACAAUACUGUUUGAUGACAAAAUUGGACCAUGAAGGACCGACGCUACCUUCCGGUUCAAGUGAGCACAGCACAACAAGGUGAGUCCAAAAAUGUAUUGUACGUUGCUGCAUAAAUUAUGAAAUAUGCCAGGGAGAUAUGUCUACUGUAUCAAAGAAAAUAAUACUAAGUGUACACUAUCGUUCAAAAGUUUGGGUCACUUAGAAAUGUCUUUGUUUUCUAAAGAAAAGUAAUUUUUUUUUACUAUAAAAUAACAUCAAAUUGAUCAGAAAUACAGUGUAGACAUUGUUAAUGUUGUAAAUGACUGAUUUUCUUUUCAGUUUGAUGUUAUUUUAAUGUAGAAAAAAUGUGCUUUUCUUUCAAAAACAAGAACAUUUCUAAGUGACCCCAAACUUUUGAAUGGUAAUGUAUGUUGUGUAGUAAGCUGUUAGUAGCCCAUAUGCCUCACCCUAAUAAUUUGGUCCGUUUCCCCCUCAUAACUUAGCCUACUGUUCUGACUUGGUGGCGCACAUGUAACCUACAGCCUGUUUUAGAGAAAUGUAAUCAUCAAAUAUUGUAAGAGCUUUCAUUGUCUGCUUAUAUGCCCCCUUUAUUUAUUCUAUGGUUCUGACUUGAUGUUCAGGGAGAUUGCUGUAAGAAAGGCCCAUGUUCUGAUUUCUGUCGCUGUAAGAAUGGCUCAUGUUCUGAAAAGUGCUGAACAAAUAGUUUUAUUGACUACGUCCAUCCUAGCUCCCUCAUUAAUGUCUUAAUCGAAAUUACUGAUUGCCUCUUAUCCGCUCGUCGUCCCCUUAUGCCAUAGUUUGUACAUCUCAAUUGUCAGCAGAAACCACAUUUGUUUAAUAAGCAAGUCAGCUAUUUUUUUUGGAAGGCAGUAAAUGAGGCUGAAUGAACUAUUUCACUGCUAGACAAGGCACUACUGAUAGCCAGGUGUAGCAGUGGCAAGGAUUCAUCCCAUGGUGCUGAAAAGAAAGCUCUGCAGUUGGAACAUCUUUAUGUAGGCCCUAACAGUUUGUGUGCACCAUUUGUCACUGUUAUAGUGCAAUUAAUGUAUUGUUUAGUGUUGUGUUGUGGUUUUUGCUGGCAUGCAUGAUUAUUAUAUAUUUUUUUCCCCACCAGGAUAUACAAGUCGCCACUGGCGGGAUGUAUGACUUUGUGGCUGCGGUAAAUGGUGACAACCGCUCUGUUGUCAUUACAGGCAUCAAUCAUGAAGUAGACAAACUGAUACAUGAAUCCUAAAUACUGGUACCAAUUUAGUUUGUUAAUCUCUGCAAGUUGGUUUUUUAAUGAUCUAUUGGAGCCUGGCAGAGAUAAAUACAAACAUACUCUAAGCCAGGAAAUGUCUCUGCAUCCAGGUUGAAGCGUGCAAUCUACAGGAACAUGGAGCACUCCGUGCCGGUGCUACAGAGACAGACUGGUCCAAGGACAUCCAGAGCCUUCUGACCAAGCACCUGCAAUCUCUCCAGAGCACAGAGAAGUGAGUCUGCUGGUCUAUGGAACUCUAGAGCAGCACAUCACAAAACCUGCCACCCUGUCGUCAGCUAUCCAUAGACUUUCAAUGGCCACAUUUUGGGGAUGACCAAAUGCAAUAAAAUGUUCUAUAAACAGCUCAUUCUCAUAUUGUAAGAUUACAAAACAAAAACUCUAAGGGUAUUUGUCAUGUCGGUUAUCACAUUUUUACCAACUUCUGUGAUAACUUAAACAUCAAGACAAAUACACUUAGAGCGUAUGUCUAAAAUAAAUGCAAG